GCAUAUGGUCAAACCACUGUGAGAAUGCCCAAUCUUGUUUAUCUCAUAACCUAAGAAGGGUGGCCUGGUUAGUGGUUAGUACUUGAAUGGGUGACUGCCCGAAAGUACCAGGUGCUGUAUGUU
ensembl:rRNA 5S_rRNA 5S ribosomal RNA